rnacentral:rRNA from 1 species
GAUGAACGCUGGCGGCGUGCUUAACACAUGCAAGUCGAACGGAAAGGCCCAAUCUUGCUUGGGUUCUCUAGUGGCGAACGCGUGAGUAACACGUUGGUGAUCUGCCCUGCACUUCGGGAUAAGCCUGGGAAACUGGGCCUACUACCGGAUCGGACCACUUCUUGGGUGUUGUGCUGGAAAGUUUUUUCGGUUUGGGUUGAGCUCGCGGCCUAUCCGCUUGUUGGUGGGGUGAUGGCCUACCAACGCCUCCGCCGGUAGCCGGCCUGAGAGGGGGUACAGCAGCAUAGGGACAGAGAUACGGCCCAGACGCGGACGAGAGGAAGAAGGGGGGAAUAGUGAUCAAGGGACGCAGGGAUGGUGCAGUAAGGCGGCGGGGGGGAUGACGGACUUCGGGUUGAAGACACCUUUCACGCGGGACGAAGCGUUUUGUGACGGUACCUGGAGAAGAAGCACCGGCUAACUACGUG